UACGUAGGGUGCAAGCGUUAAUCGGAAUUACUGGGCGUAAAGCGUGCGCAGGCGGUGAUGUAAGACAGGUGUGAAAUCCCCGGGCUUAACCUGGGAACUGCAUUUGUGACUGCAUCGCUGGAGUGCGGCAGAGGGGGAUGGAAUUCCGCGUGUAGCAGUGAAAUGCGUAGAUAUGGGGAGGAACACCGGUGGCGAAGGCGGCCAUCUGGACGGCUACUGACGCUGAGACGCGAAAGCGUGGGGAGCAAACAGG
rnacentral:rRNA from 1 species